GUUUUUUAGCCACACCCCUGCAUUUAUAACCAGGCAGUGAUACUGCAUCCCUAUCCCUCAUGGCUGAAUGCCAUGUCCCGGCGAAGUAUGAGAUUACUGACGAGCGGUUAUUACCGCCCCGACGGUGAAAUGAACCAGCGCAGCAACUCUCACCAGGUGUCUUACCGAGAGAGCCCUGUCAGGGCCUGAGUGGCUUUGAUGAGCAGGAGGAAGGGAAGUUCCUGGGUAGAUUCACAUAUAACUCUGAUGGCGAGCCCAUCCAGACCUUUGAGCUACCAGUGAGACAUCAUCAGAAGCCUUUAAACUUUGUUCCAUCUUCAUGCCUUAAAACAACCCUCUCACCAACAAAACUCUUUACCCUUUACCUUCCCUCUCUCUCCCUCUCCUUC
ensembl:lncRNA